rnacentral:rRNA from 1 species
GAUGAACGCUAGCGACAGGCUUAACACAUGCAAGUCGAGGGGCAGCAUAGAAGUAGCAAUACUUUGGUGGCGACCGGCGCACGGGUGAGUAACGCGUAUGCAACCUACCUAUCAGAGGGGGAUAACCCGGCGAAAGUCGGACUAAUACCGCAUAAAACAGGGGCACCGCAUGGUGAUAUUUGUUAAAGAUUAAUUGCUGAUAGAUGGGCAUGCGUUCCAUUAGGUAGUUGGUGAGGUAAUGGCUCACCAAGCCGACGAUGGAUAGGGGAACUGAGUGGUUGGGUCCCCACACUGGUGCGGAGACACGGACCAGACUCCUACGGGAGGCAGCGAUGAGGAAUAAUGGUCAAUGGGCGAGAGCCUGAACCAGCCAAGUCGCGUGAAGGAAGAAGGAUCUAUGGGUCGUAAGCUUCUUUUGCAGGGGAAUAAAGUGGAGGACGUUUCCUCUUUUGUAUGUACCCUGAGAAUAAGGAUCGGCUAACUCCGUGCCAGCCGCCGCCGUAAUAC